GAAAAGCAGAAGCAGCAGUAAUAGAAACGUGAGCAUGGGUGAAAGCUGAGGAUUCCAAGAAACGACAAGAAAGACAGGAAAAGAACAACAGGGGAACCAAGAGAUUAUAUUGCUGCUUGAAAAUUGUGAAGAUCUACAUUAUAGGCAACAUUCCAGAUAUGGAAACUGAGCCCUCACACAUGGACUGAAUUCUGACAAGCAGAGGAUAAAGGCAGAACAACAUGACUGAAGGGAAGAUGCUUUUGUGAUAUAUCCCAGCAUGCUGAUGACCCCAAGGAGGACCACUGGAUACCUAGCAAGGAGCUGGCUGCAGCAUACCAUGAAUCCUCACAGCAACUUAAUGAGGAAAAAGAAGAACUGAUUGAAGAGUGGCAACCAGAACCUCUUGUUCCUCCUGUCCCAAAAGACCAUCCUGCUCUCAACUACAACAUCGUUUCAGGAAACAUCUGCGUGAGAAGGGCCCCUCUCAUAAAAUGAAAACAAAGGACAGAAAGCAUUGCUGAGGGCUUAAGGUGUGGAUGAAAUGACACAUUGAAGCUGAAGAAUCCCCAUGUUGACAGCAUUCAAUCCAAGAAAAGCUCCACUGUACACAUGUUCUAACAUAUGAGUGAUCCAAAAGAGAGAGCUUCACAUACAAUAUCCUAUGCCUACUUUCUCAGCUCAGAGAGAGAGGCUCAGUCAUUCAUAAACUGGAGCAACAUUCAUGUACUGCGGACCACUUUGAAAGACUUAUCUGUCUCCUGUUUACAGAUGUGUACAGCAAGCUGCAAAGCACUGCCUGUCCUUUUACUCACAAUCAAUUGCAGAGAACAUGAAGUACAGAAGACAACAGCUUUUUUUUUCUUUUGGAAAAUCCCUUAAGUCCUUUCCGUGCUGUGCUAUCAUUGUUCAGGUGCUAAAGUGAAAUAAAUGUGUCGUCUAAUCACUAAGGUGUCAUGAACUCAAAAAUUUAACUGGCAGUGAAGAGUCAGGGAACAUUGUAAUUUUGCCUUGUCACAGGAAUACUAGUUCAAAAGUGGGAGGAAUGUAUUUGCCAAUAUGGUCUACAUCUUCAAAUGCACAUUGUUUACUCAAACUUCAUAGGCACAUGUUCAAUGAAGGGCAUAAAAAAGACAUUUACAAAGCUCAUUGAAA
rnacentral:lncRNA from 10 species